rnacentral:rRNA from 1 species
UACGUAGGGCGCAAGCGUUGUCCGGAAUUAUUGGGCGUAAAGAGCUCGUAGGCGGCCUGUUGCGUCCGCUGUGAAAUCCCGGGGCUCAACCCCGGGCGUGCAGUGGAUACGGGCUGGCUGGAGGCAGGCAGGGGAGAACGGAAUUCCUGGUGUAGCGGUGAAAUGCGUAGAUAUCGGAAGGAACACCAGUGGCGAAAGCGGCUUCCUGGUCCGACACCGACGUUCAGGCACGAAAGCGUGGGGAGCAAACAGG